rnacentral:rRNA from 1 species
GAUGAACGCUAGCGGCAGGCCUAACACAUGCAAGUCGAGGGAGGAGCUUUCGGGCUUCGACCGGCGUACGGGUGCGUAACGCGUAUACAAUCUGCCUUUCACCUAGGGAUAGCCCGAAGCAAUUUGGAUUAAUACCUAAUGGUAUAUAGAGGUUGCAGCACCUUUAUAUUAAAGCUGAGGCGGUAAAAGAUGAGUAUGCGUUCUAUUAGCUAGUUGGAGAGGUAACGGCUCCCCAAGGCGACGAUAGAUAGGGGUUCUGAGAGGGAUAUCCCCCACACUGGUACUGAGAUACGGACCAGACUCGUACGGGAGGCAGCAGUGAGGAAUAUUGGACAAUGGUCGGAAGACUGAUCCAGCCAUGCCGCGUGCAGGAAGACGGCCUUAGGGGUUGUAAACUGCUUGUGCAGGGGAAGAAUAAGGACUACGCGUAGUUUGAUGACGGUACUCUGCGAAUAAGCAUCGGCUAACUCCGUG